AUUGAACGCUGGCGGCAGGCCUAACACAUGCAAGUCGAGCGAGCGGCGGACGGGUGUGUAAUGUUUGGUAAACUGCCCGUUGGAGGGGGAUAACUAGUGGAAACGGUAGCUAAUACCGCAUACCAUAUGAUGUUCCCCGAUGGGAUUAGCUAGUAGGGGGGGUAACGGCUCACCUCGGCGACUAUCCCUAGCUGGUCUGAGAGGAUGAUCAGCCACAAUGGAACUGAGACACGGUCCAGACUCCUACGGGAGGAAGCAGUGGGGAAUUUUGGACAAUGGGCGCAAUCCUGAUCCAGCCAUGCCGCGUGUCUGAAGAAGGCCUUCGGGUUGUAAAGGACUUUUGUCAGGGAAGCGGUACCUGAAGAAGAAGCACCGGCUAACUACGUGCCAGCAGCCGCGGUAAUAC
rnacentral:rRNA from 1 species